rnacentral:rRNA from 1 species
UACAGAGGGGGCAAGCGUUAUUCGGAAUUAUUGGGCGUAAAGGGCGCGUAGGCGGCCUGACAAGUGGAUGGUGAAAUCCCUCGGCUUAACCGAGGAACUGCCAUGCAGACUGUUUGGCUUGAGACCGGGAGAGGUGAGUGGAAUUCCACGUGUAGCGGUGAAAUGCGUAGAGAUGUGGAGGAACACCAGUGGCGAAGGCGGCUUUCUGGUCUGUAACUGACGCUGAGGCGCGAAAGCGUGGGGAGCAAACAGG